GAUGAACGCUAGCGGCAGGCCUAACACAUGCAAGUCGAGGGGUAAUUUUCCCGAGCAAUCGGGAAGAACGACCGGCGCACGGGUGAGUAACGCGUAUGCAACCUACCUUUAACUGGGGAAUAGCCCGAAGAAAUUCGGAUUAAUACCCCAUAAUAUUUUGGAAUCACAUGGUUUCAUAAUUAAAGUUCCAACGGUUAGAGAUGGGCAUGCGUGACAUUAGUUAGUUGGUGAGGUAACGGCUCACCAAGACGAUGAUGUCUAGGGGGUCUGAGAGGAUGGUCCCCCACACUGGUACUGAGACACGGACCAGACUCCUACGGGAGGCAGCAGUGAGGAAUAUUGGGCAAUGGACGCAAGUCUGACCCAGCCAUGUCGCGUGCAGGAUGACAGUCUUAUGGGUUGUAAACUGCUUUUAUACAGGAAGAAACCCCCGAAGUGUCGGGGGCUGACGGUACUGUAUGAAUAAGCAUCGGCUAACUCCGUGCCAGCAGCCGCGGUAAUACGGAGGAUGCAAGCGUUAUCCGGAUUUAUUGGGUUUAAAGGGUGCGUAGGCGGGAGAUUAAGUCAGUGGUGAAAUCCUGCAGCUUAACUGCAGAACUGCCACUGAUACUGGUUUCCUUGAGUACAGUUGAGGUGGGCGGAAUGUGUAGUGUAGCGGUGAAAUGCUUAGAUAUUACACAGAACACCAAUUGCGUAGGCAGCUCACUAAACUGUUACUGACGCUGAGGCACGAAAGCGUGGGGAGCAAACAGGAUUAGAUACCCUGGUAGUCCACGCUGUAAACGAUGAUCACUCGUUGUUGGCGAUAUACAGUCAGCGACUAAGCGAAAGCAUUAAGUGAUCCACCUGGGGAGUACGAUCGCAAGAUUG
rnacentral:rRNA from 1 species